UUGAAAGAAAGGAUUAGGAAGUAGAAAUACAAUUUGGAACCCACUUAUGUGUUUGGAAAAAGAAUGGAUGUUGAGGUGUGCUUUAGGCCUUUGUAGUUGGCUUUAUUUGUGUUUUGUUGUCUUGGUGUUGUUAUGAGUUUUUCCUUUUUCUCUGUCAUGUGCUUUUUAAGUUUUACCAAUCCCACUUAUGUUGUUUGCCUCAAACAAUUUUUGUUUCUAGCCAAAUUUGCAACCCAUGUUUCUUCUUCCAUGAAAUUUUUAUGUUAUUUCUCAAAUAUUUAAUACAUGAAUCAAUGUUCAAUAACACAAAAGUUUGAUGAAGAUUUAUUUGAAAAAAUGAGAUUCACAUGAUCAAAAGCAAUGAUUCAAUAUAUUUGUGUUUUGUUCUUUUUGUUUUCUAUGAUUCACAUGUUUUAUAUCCUUCACUUUACUUGGAUCAAUAGCAGUCCAUAACAUCUUGAUUCCAAGAUUUUGAUAUUUGAGAAAUAUUGUAGAGUAAAUUCACGAGCAAAAAAUAAAAAAAAAUAUUAGAUUUACUGAAUUUUUAUUGUUCAAAAUGUAUCUUUUUGUUCUGUUUUUGGAUUUUGCCCCCUACCACGCUUUAUAGUAUUGAGAGAUUGCAUGACAAGGUGACAUAGUUCUUAAUCAUGGUUUUGUCAUUAUAUAUAAAUAUUAGUUGGUGGAUAAUAUGCUUUCUUAAUCUACAAGUAUUUGUUGAUUCGAUUUGUUCCCCUUCACUUAACAGAGUUAUUGCCUAGGGCAUGAAUGGGGAGAAAAGAAAGUUAAGAGUCAUGCACAUACAUAAUCCUUGCUUUGGACCUAUUGGUGUUGGUCAGGUUGAGCUUCAUUUUCUUUUUAUUCGUUGAAGGGACAUUUCAUGGUUAACAGUAGUUUAUUAAAAAAUGUUUUAGUGAAGCAUAUGUUAGAUAGACAUAGAAGUGUAAGAAAUCUGGUGAAAUUAAACAACUACUAUAGGCAUGUGCAUAACAUAUGCAUGGUUAUUAUUAUUUUUUAGCUUGGAUUGAGAAAAAAAACUCUUAAAGGCUUGAUGUAUUAUCCGGAUUGAACAACUACAAACACAAAUAAUCUUUUUUUUGGAGUCACACAAUAAAAGAUUCAGCUUGGUUUCCCAAUGCCUAUUUCAAAAAAAAGAUUAAAUUGAUAUCUUCACCACACAAACCUAUAAUUACAUGACAUUAUUAAGCCUUUUAUUUAUUUUUUAAUUGUAAUCAGGUUAAAAAAAUUCUGAUUUUAUUUUUCUUUUGCAGUCACGCAAUAAUGAAGAGGUUUGGUUUUUUUCUCUUUUUUCACAUGUGCAUAGACAUUAGCCAUUAACUAACUAGGAAUAGUGACUGUUAGUUUGAUUUAAUCUAUUAAGAUAUGUCUUAUUAGUAGGAAAUUUUAGUUAGUGCUUCAUUUGCAUGAACAAACCUUCCUAUUAUUUUUUAACCAUAAACACAUAAGUUGAUAAUUUCAAAAUUAGCCUUUGUUGAUAUAUAGCACCUUAUUGAAAAGGAACUAAUAUGCAUCAACUCUGUUUUGGAGGUUGUGGUUUAAUUUCAUGCCUUGAGUACUUUGUCCGUUAAAAUAAUUUGUAUAUAUAUGGUAUGAUUUGCACCAGUGUAUCUUAUAAUAAGAUUUGAACCAUGUCUUUCAUAAACUUGAUUACGGUUCCUUUUGCAGGUUCUACUAACCGAAAUUAAUUCAAGGUUUUUCAUUUUACUUGAUAAGAGACUUUUGGUUGUGGAAAAAGGCUUUGCUACACCGCUGCUACAAAUAUAAGCAACAACAGCAGAAGUGAGAGAUGAUGGAGUUUGAAUGGUCACAUUUAGGUAAGUUGAACUUUUUUUGGCUUUGUCCGUUUAUGUUAACCUCAAACAGUCACAAAGAUGAACAUUUGAAUUCACAUGGUUCAAGAAAACUCAUUGAUUUCUCUGUAUGACUUAUCUGUUAAUUGAAUCUUUGGAAUGGUUCUUGAAUUAAUUCGGAGGUUAAUGAGUAAUGGAAUUUACAGGCGGGGUAGAAUCUUUUACCUAAAUAAAGGAAUAUAUUUAUCACACUAUAAGUCACACUAACUAAAUGAAUAUAUUUAAUCGAUGUUGGUGCCUUUAUCACAUAAAUCAUUCUCCUCCAUUUGCUACAUUUCAUUUUUCUCUUCAAUUUUUUGUUUGUGGUCCUUUUGUCACACUAUAAGUGGAUCGCUUUUAGUUUGGUAUUUUUAUUUUUAUUUACAUAGAAGGAAUUAUUGUAAUUCUUUGAAUUUCUUACUAUAGCGAGUUAGUGAGGUGCAUAGCUUGAUUGUAUUUGAAAACUCCUCAUUAGACGUUGAAGUUAAUAUCACUUUAAGUCAUUUACAGCCACUUCAAAUCUGGUUUUGUGCACACAUAACUGAUUUUGUUUUAUACCUGGCAGAGAAUUCUAUGGAGAUCGAAACUUAAAUGAGAAACAAGUUGAGAUUCUUAGAAUUACAUCAUUAUCAUUUUCAGAGGUAACCCUUAUUUCUUUCUAUUUUCUUUCACUUCAUUAUUUAUAAAAAUAAAGUAACUACUGUGUUGUCAAGGAUUUGCAUUCUCCAAACUUCAUGUACAGUAUUAUAAAAGAAUAACACAUUAGACUCUCAAUGCAUUUCUACUCAUACUGUACUCAUUUAUAUUGUAUCAGAUUAGAUAAUGCAAUGAUAUAUUUCUAUUUUGCUACAUUAGGCUUUCAUGAGUCUUUUGUAACUUAAAAUUGCAGCCUUUAUUUUUGUUUUAAAUAUGACUAGCCAUUUGUUGUUGAGAAAUUUUCAUAAAGAAAUAAGUUAAGAAUGCAAAUUGAUUUUAAGGUAUACUUUGGUCCAGUUCUAUGUAGCAUGUUUUGAAUAAGAAUUUAUGCUUAGGAAUUUAUACUAAUCUUUUUCCACUAUGUUCAUUCUCUAAAGUUUGUAGACAAUGUUUUGUUCCUUUACUUUCGCAACUUUCAUUUGUUAAUUGACUAUUUGAUCUGCAUAUAUUUUGAUGAUAACAUAUGAUUUCAAAUCCUAUAUGCUCUAAGUAAAAAAGGCUUAAAUCUGCUCAUUUCCAGUUUGCAAUAUCAUUUUGUUUUGGUUGUUUAACCAUGUUUUAAUUUCGAGUUUGUGUCUGAACUAACAUAAGUAGUACGAUGUUUUGGGAGUUAUUUUGAUGAUUGCCUUUUUCUGCUGUUUUUGACCAAAUUUUACAGAGCAUAUCAUACAGAAAAGAUUAGAAAGGAAAGAGCAAGAAGAUUAGCUAAAGUCUGAGUGCAACUAGGAUAGAUACAAUUUGUAAUAAAUAUAAAACCCUUAAAUAUUGAAUAGAAUCACUUCAUUCCUACAUGUACGUAUGUUAGUUGUAGUAAUACCCUUAAAUUUGUAAUAAAUAUAAUACCCUUAAAUAUUGUUCAUUAAUAGUAUGUAACCUUAGUUGUAGUAAUAAUUUCAUUCUAUUUCUUAACAAGUAUAUUGAAGAAUAUUU
rnacentral:lncRNA from 1 species